rnacentral:lncRNA from 1 species
AACCUUGAGAGCAGUGCAUCUCUCUGAGGAAGAGCCCUGGCUCAAUACCUGCGUUAAGGGGUAGCAGCACAUCGAUGGAACAGAGCUCUGCAGUCUAACACAGGAGCGGUGCGGUGGGAGCUGCCCUGAGCUGAAGCUGGGCCUCGUGCUUCUAUCAUCGACUGCAGGCAAGUGAGGAAAACAACUGGAAAUAAAACGUUUGAGAAUGUGUUCAAACUCCUGGAAAGCAACAAAAGCUACAGAUGCACUGAGGUCUGGAGGCAGGAGAAGAGCACAUGCAUGAUUUCUCUUACACUGAUGCAUAUGUGAGCCACCUCACCAGCCCUGCAAGAAUUUUGAAGAUGAAUUUCUCCUGGUUGCAGUUGCAGCUCUAAGCUAACAGUGCAGCUGUCUGCCUCAUCUCCAUCCCUUUAGGAGAAACGUGACUGCUUCCCUGUGAGGGAAGCCUCAGCCGAUCCCCAGCAGGUGAUGGGUGCACUGGGGCAGUGCUGGGCAGUGUGCCCUGAGCAUCCAACAGCUGGGACCAGCAGCUCCAGUGCUGUCCUGCGUGCGGCUCAGUGCAGACUGGUGCUGGUGGCUGCUGUGCUCUGCGGUUCUCCCAGCCCAGUGUCAGAGUGGCACACGAGGCCCAGAAGUGAGAAAAGUGCACUCUCAGUUUUUCCUUUCCUGAGUACUUCCUGCAGCAAUUCACAAGGUACAAAAUGUUGUUCGUUUAUCGGUGUUCCCCGCUCUGAAUUUUGGGUGAAAUCUUUCAAGGUUCAGCAGCUGAUAGCAGUAAGCUCAGCACCUGGUUUGUAUUUCUUUGCUGGUUUUGAAAACUGUGUGAGGAUCAUCCAAAGCACUGAAAGCAAUGGGCCCAGCUGCACAAAACUCCUUUCCUGUUGCAACUUCAUUAAGUUAGUCCUGUGAGUUCCUAAAAAAAAACAAGUGUUGGCUGGUGUCAAAGUUAGUGAACAAUAACCAGAGCUGCUAUUUUUAGCUCUAUAUUAACCCAGCUCAGCCUAACGUUGCGUUGCAUCAAAUCAGAAUGCAGGGAGGACCCGCACCGAUUGGUCACCUGCAUCUCCAUCUCUGCUCGUGUGCGGGGCUCACACAGCACAGGGCCACCAAAGAGGUGGGCUGAGAAACCUGCCCUGCAGGACCUACAGGAACACUGCUGGUGUUUAACAACACCUUGAGAUGUCUGUUGGGAAUUUCCUUUGAUUAUCUCAAUGGUUACUCUUUUAUCAUUAUCAUCAGUUGUAUUGUGUGAAGUUGCGAUCUCUCCCGCAGUGCUGUAAGUGAGGAGAAGCACAAUGCAAACUCGGUUUGGCUUUGCUCAGAGCAAUGGGCAGAAACUCAGUGCCGACUCCUGAGUUCUGCAAGUUUUGUUUUCGCUGAUCCCCUUUUCUGAAUUUCGGAUUUUAUCAACUAACAUAGCUUUGACAUGAAGUGCAUCGCUGAAACAAUUAGCGCGUGCAAUUAAAUUGCUAUUCAUACUGAUUUUUCUCUUCUAGGGAGAAGUUUUAUUUCAGCUGCUCAUUAUUUUAGAGCAAUUUGCAAAAAGAAGCAUCAUUGGGAAAAAUAGGCGGGUGGCAUUUUGGGUGAAUGAAACGCACCACUAAGCAAAUGAGAAAUUAGUGUAAAUUUCUUUCCUUUGACUUCAUUUGCUGCAGAUUAAGUUUGAUCCUAAUGGUGAAAAUUGGGUCAAUCUUUUAGAAUAUUGAGCUUUUC